AUUGAACGCUGGCGGCAUGCCUUACACAUGCAAGUCGAACGACGCUAGGGGCAACUCUAGCGAGUGGCGAACGGGUGAGUAAUACAUCGGAACGUGUCCUGUCGUGGGGGAUAACCAGUCGAAAGAUUGGCUAAUACCGCAUGAGAUCGAAAGAUGAAAGCGGGGGACCGCAAGGCCUCGCGCGACUGGAGCGGCCGAUGUCGGAUUAGCUAGUUGGUGGGGUAACGGCCCACCAAGGGGACGAUGCGUAGCUGGUUUGAGAGAACGACCAGCCAGGAUUGGAAUGAGUCAGGGCCCAGCCGCCAAGCGGAGGUAGCAAUGGGGAAUUUUUGAGAAGGGGCGAAAGCCUGAUCCAGCCAUGCCGCGUGUGUGGAGAAGGCCUUCGGGUUGUAAAGCACUUUCGGCCGGAACGAAAUCGCCCGUGUUAACAGCGCGGGUGGAUGACGGUACCGGAAGAAGAAGCACCGGCUAACUACGUGCCAGCAGCCGCCGUAAGAC
rnacentral:rRNA from 1 species